rnacentral:rRNA from 1 species
GGCGAACGCUGGCGGCGUGCCUAACACAUGCAAGUCGAACGGAGUUAAGUCUUCGGACUUAACUUAGUGGCGAACGGGUGAGUAACGCGUGAGGAACCUACCUUUCAGUGGGGGACAACAGUCGGAAACGACUGCUAAUACCGCAUAACAUGUACGGAUCGCAUGAUCUGUACAUCAAAGAUUUAUUGCUGAAAGAUGGCCUCGCGUCUGAUUAGAUAGUUGGUGAGGUAACGGCUCACCAAGUCGACGAUCAGUAGCCGGUCUGAGAGGAUGAACGGCCACAUUGGGACUGAGAUACGGCCCAG